GAUGAACGCUGGCGGCGUGCCUAAUACAUGCAAGUCGAGCGAACAGAUGAGGAGUUUGUUCCUCACACGUUAGCGGAGGACGGGUGAGUAACAUGGGGGUAACCCACCUAUCAUCCUGGUAAAACUUCGAGAAUCCGGAGCAAAUACGGGAUAAUGUAUUUAACGAUAUCGUUCUGUAGUGAAUUUCGGUUUUGGUGUCACUUAUAGAUGGAUCCGCUCCGCAUUAGCUAGUUGGUAAGGUAACGGCUUACCAAGGCAUCGAGGCGUAGCGGGGCUGAGAGGGUGAGCGGCCACGCUGGGACGGAGGGACACUCCAGGAUCCAGAGGGAGGCAGGAGUAGGGAAGGAGGCACAAGGGGCGAAAACUUGACGGAGCAAGGCCGCGUGAUGGAUGAAGGUCUUCGGAUCGUAGAACGCUUUUAGUAGGGAAGAACCAAUGUGUAAGUAACUAUGGACGUCGUGACGGUACCUAAAGAGAAAGCCACGGCUAACUACGUG
rnacentral:rRNA from 1 species